GUCUCUUUGUUAACCAUAAAUAAAGAGUUGGGCCUGCUCGGUGAACAAAUUGUUUUAACAGCUGCGGUAUUUUAACUGUACUAAGGUAGCAUAAUAAUUUGCCUUAUAAUUUGAGGCUAGAAUGAAUGGUUUGACGAAGGUUAAUCUGUCUCUACUUUAUUUUUUAGAAUUUAAUUUUUAUAGUGAAAAAGCUUGAAUUUUUUAAAGGGACGAGAAGACCCUAUUGAGCUUAUAAUUUUAUUACUAUUUCAUUAUUAUAUAGAUGAAAAGUAUAUAAAUUUUAAUUGGGGUGAUUAAGGAAUAAUUUAAUUAGUAACUUCCUUAUAUAUAAUUUUGUUGAAUGAAGUAACCAAUAUAGAUAUUGCUUAUAAUAUAGUUACCAUAGGGAUAACAGCGUAAUUUGUUUAGAGAGUUCUUAUUGAAAAACAAGAUUGCGACCUCGAUGUUGGAUUAAAGUAACCUUAAGGUGCAGAAGCUUUAUUAGGUAAAUCUGUUCGAUUUUUAAAACUUUACAUGAUC
rnacentral:rRNA from 1 species